UUAGGCUCUGUGGAAGAGGAACAGGAAGGCGCCAGAGAAGACAGAUGUCAAGACGCCAUUCCAGUGAAAGAUUGGUUGUUUGCAAUGUUUUAUCAGAACGAAAUCAAGGCUUGUGAGGACAAUUUUAAAAAGCUAGGUUAUGACGACACCACUUUUAUUGCCGGGAUGAGCAAAGAGGAAAUUCGCCAAGUCGGCAUAAUCAAUGGGGACCACGUUAACCUGGUACACGCAGAGGUACAAAAACUUCCC